CUCCGGUUGAUCCUGCCGGACCUGACUGCUAUCGGAUUGGUACUAAGCCAUGCGAGUCAUUGUAGCAAUACAAGGCGGACGGCUCAGUAACACGUAGUCAACCUAACUCGUGGACGUGGAUAACCUCGGGAAACUGAGAAUAAACCACGAUAGAUCAUAGUGCCUGGAAUGGCUUAUGGUCCAAACAGUUUACUGCCAUGGGAUGGGACUGCGGCCUAUCAGCUUGUUGGUGAGGUAAUGGCCCACCAAGGCGAUUACAGGUACGGGCUCUGAGAGGAGAAGCCCGGAGAUGGGUACUGAGACACGGACCCAGGCCCUAUGGGGCGCAGCAGGCGAGAAACCUUAGCAAUGUGCGAAAGCACGACUGGGUCAGUCCGAGUGAUUCCUGAUAAAGGAGUCUUUUGCUUGUCCUAAAAGCACAGGUGAAUAAGGGGUGGGCAAGUCUGGUGUCAGCCGCCGCGGUAAUACCAGCACCUCGAGUGGUCAGGACGUUUAUUGGGCCUAAAGCAUCCGUAGCCGGCUCUGCAAGUCUUCGGUUAAAUCCACCUGCUCAACAGAUGGGCUGCUGGAGAUACUACAGAGCUAGGGAGUGGGAGAGGCAGACGGUAUUCAGUGGGUAGGGGUAAAAUCCUCUGAUCCAUUGAGGACCACCAGUGGCGAAGGCGGUCUGCCAGAACACGUUCGACGGUGAGGGAUGAAAGCUGGGGGAGCAAACCGGAUUAGAUACCCGGGUAGUCCCAGCUGUAAACGAUGCAAACUCGGUGAUGCAUUGGCUUAUGGCCAAUGCAGUGCCGCAGGGAAGCCGUUAAGUUUGCCGCCUGGGAAGUACGGACGCAAGUCUGAAACUUAAAGGAAUUGGCCGGGGAGCA
rnacentral:rRNA from 1 species